CAACGUGGGGAACCUGCCCCAUAGUCUGGGAUACCACUUGGAAACAGGUGCUAAUACCGGAUAAGAAAGCGGAUCGCAUGAUCAGCUUUUAAAAGGCGGCGUAAGCUGUCGCUAUGGGAUGGCCCCGCGGUGCAUUAGCUAGUUGGUAGGGUAAAGGCUUACCAAGGCGAUGAUGCAUAGCCGAGUUGAGAGACUGAUCGGCCACAUUGGGACUGAGACACGGCCAAACUCCUACGGGAGGCAGCAGAG
rnacentral:rRNA from 1 species